GGACGAACGCUGGCGGCGUGCCUAAUACAUGCAAGUCGAACGAGAGCGACCGGUGCUUGCACUGGUCAAUCUAGUGGCGAACGGGUGAGUAACACGUGGGUAACCUGCCCAUCAGAGGGGGAUAACAUUCGGAAACGGAUGCUAAAACCGCAUAGGUCUUCGAACCGCAUGGUUUGAAGAGGAAAAGAGGCGCAAGCUUCUGCUGAUGGAUGGACCCGCGGUGCAUUAGCUAGUUGGUGAGGUAACGGCUCACCAAGGCCGUGAUGCAUAGCCGACCUGAGAGGGUGAUCGGCCACAUUGGGACUGAGACACGGCCCAAACUCCUACGGGAGGCAGCAGUAGGGAAUCUUCCGCAAUGGACGCAAGUCUGACGGAGCAACGCCGCGUGAGUGAAGAAGGUUUUCGGAUCGUAAAACUCUGUUGUUAGAGAAGAACAAGUGCUAGAGUAACUGUUAGCGCCUUGACGGUAUCUAACCAGAAAGCCACGGCUAACUACGUG
rnacentral:rRNA from 1 species